CCCUUAGAUGUUCCGGGCUGCACGCGCGCUACACUGAUGCACUCAACGAGUUUACGACCUUGCCCGAUAGGGUUGGGUAAUCUUUUUAAAAUGCAUCGUGAUGGGGAUAGAUUAUUGCAAUUAUUAAUCUUCAACGAGGAAUUCCUAGUAAGCGCGAGUCAUCAGCUCGUGCUGAUUACGUCCCUGCCCUUUGUACACACCGCCCGUCGCUCCUACCGAUUGAGUGCUCAGGUGAAUAAUUCGGACUGCAGCAAUGUUUGGAUCCCGAACGUUGCAGCGGAAAGUUUAGUGAACCUUAUCACUUAGAGGAAGGAGAAGUCGUAACA
rnacentral:rRNA from 1 species